UUCGGGAGGCAGCAGUGGGGAAUUUUUCGCAAAGGGCGAAAGCCUGACGCAGCGACGCCGCGUGAGGGAAGAAGGCCUUAGAGAGUCUUAUAA
rnacentral:rRNA from 1 species